UCACUUGAGUGCUACAGAAACUUUUCAAUCGAUAACUUUUGUGUCAUAACUUUUUAGAAACAUUCACCACAAGUGCUCCGUCACGUUGGAUUUUCGGCACUU